rnacentral:rRNA from 2 species
UACGUAGGUGACGAGCGUUAUCCGGAAUUAUUGGGCGUAAAGCGCACGCAAGCGGUCUAUCAAGUCUGACGUGAAAUCUCUUGGCUUAACUGGGAGCGGUCGUUGGAAACUGAUAGGCUUGAGGCAAUGAGAGGGAUGCAGAAUUCCUGGUGUAGUGGUGGAAUGCGUAGAUAUCAGGAGGAAUACCUGUGGCGAAAGCGGCAUCCUGGCGUUGUUCUGACGCUCAUGUGCGAAAGCGUGGGGAGCGAACGGG